rnacentral:lncRNA from 1 species
CAAGUCUGAAACACGGGGUCCAUUUUACUUCCCACCUCAUCAUUUGGGAGUCAUGGGUCAAUCAUGGCCCAUCAUUGGUGAUGUGACAUUUGGGCAUCUGUUAAAGGGGCCUCUGCGAGAUUUCUCCCCAGAACAGGGACUUGGUUCCUUUGUGAUUCAUAAGCGAGGCCAUGGGACUCUCCUGCCUCUGGCAGCUUUGUCCAGUGGUGACCUUCUUCGCUGGCACUUGGUGUUGCCAUAGAAAGAGUGUCAUUUCCCUUCGGAAUGGAACAUGGUGCUUGGAAGUGUUCAGAAACCAAGUCCAGGUGCCCGGUGAGCCUGGUGAUCUCAGGGUGUCGUUAUUUCUAGGGCAGAGAGAGCUAGGACAUGUGUAUGUUGACCUCAAGGGUUCACAGUGACACCACGAGUUAUUUUUGAGCGUCACCGAGUCCCUCUUCCUUUUUUAAGAAAUAUUUUCCCUUGUUCUUCAGGUUGGGUAAUUCCUGCCCAUCCCCCCGCCCAUAUUUAUGGCUUCCGUCUACCACAGUGAGAGUCCAGGCUCCCAGUAAGAUUAAUAUAUGGACUCAUUUCCUCUGUUGUGUAACCCUCACAAGACACUUCCAGAAUUUCUGUGCCGUUCCCGCUGUCAACAGCAAAUCCACUAAGUCACGUUCAGUAACUGUACAGGCACAAAUAUCCUCUGGAAGUAAUCAAGUAACUAAAAAAGUUCCUCGAAUCAAUGAUUUUCUCUGCAGAGCACAUGAUUUAUUUGCUGAAUGCUUAGAUUUAUUUGUUUCUGCUUGUAUUCAAUUUUAGAAUUGCUUCUUUCUACCCCUUUUGAUUAAAUGUAAGUGGCUCAAAAGCAAAACUAUAUAAAAAGGUAGGCUCAGAGACGUUGCCCUCCCAACUCUAUCUCAUUCGCCCUGUUCUUGUCCACACAAGAUAACAAAUAAUGUUCAUUGGUUUCUGGAAUGCUCUUCCUGUGCUUUGCAAAAAGUCAUUAAACACACACACACUCACACACACACUCACACACUCACACACGCACACACACACUCACACACACACACACUCACACUCACACACUCACACACACUCACACACACACUCACACACUCACACACACACUCACUCACACACAUACUCACACACACACACGCACACACACACUCACACACUCACACACACUCACACACUCACACACACACUCACACACUCACACACACACUCACACACACACUCACACACACACACACUCACACGCACACACACACUCACACACACACACACACGCUGCUGUUUGCACCUUGCUUUAUCCCCUUGGCAACACAUCCUGGCAGUUGGUCCCUGUCGGCUGUGAUGAAUAAUUCUGAGCAUAUUCUUUUAACAUACACGUGGAGCUAUAUCUGAAAGACAAAUUGUGAAGAGUGGGAUUGUCGGGUCAAAGGGGGAAUGCAUAUGUGACGAAUGUAUAUGUCCCUCCUCAGGGACCAUCAGCCCUCCUGCAGCAGCGUAUGAAGUGCCCGUCUCCCCAGGGUCCUGCUGGCCAUGUCGGGUGUUAAAUUUUGAAUCUGUCAAUCUGAUAGGGGAGAAAUGAUUAUUCAGUAUAGUUUAAAUUUGCAUUUCUCUUAUUAUGAAUUAAUUGGAACAUCUUUCCCACGAUUACAUACCAUUUGCGUCUUUAAAUAACUUUCUAGCAGGUUUUCAUCUCCC